rnacentral:rRNA from 1 species
AAACUUACGCUAAUACCGCAUACGACCUACGGGUGAAAGUGGGGGACCGCAAGGCCUCACGCGAUUAGAUGAGCCGAUGUCCGAUUAGCUAGUUGGCGGGGUAAUGGCCCACCAAGGCGACGAUCGGUAGCUGGUCUGAGAGGAUGAUCAGCCACACUGGAACUGAGACACGGUCCAGACUCCUACGGGAGGCAGCAGUGGGGAAUAUUGGACAAUGGGCGCAAGCCUGAUCCAGCCAUACCGCGUGGGUGAAGAAGGCCUUCGGGUUGUAAAGCCCUUUUGUUGGGAAAGAAAUCCUAUCGGUUAAUAACCGGUGGGGAUGACGGUACCCAAAGAAUAAGCACCGGCUAACUUCGUGCCAGCAGCCGCGGUAAUACGAANGGUGCAAGCGUUACUCGGGAAUUACUGGGCGUAAAGCGUGCGUAGGUGGUGGUUUUAGUCCGUUGUGAAAGCCCUGGGCUCAACCUGGGAAUNGCAGUGGAUACUUGGAUCNCUA